AAAAAAAAAAAAAAAAAAAAAAAAAAAAAAAAAAAAACAAAAAAAAAAUUUGCACUAACAUGGUAGUCUUUUCUUAUUCUAUCAAUCUCUCUCCUCUAAUCGGUAAACCAUACUUUCCUCUCUUUUCUCUCUCUCAUUACCGCCUCUUUCCCCCUGCUCUCUCAUUCGGCACUCAACCGUCGGCCCUUCACCCGUCGUUGACCCAUUCUACCUCUCUGUUUCUUCUAUCUGGCCUUAAUCACUAGUGGUCGUGAUGGAGGCGGCAAUGGUGACGGUUUUCGUGACCACCGUGAUUAACUUAACCGGAGUCGGAUCUUUAUCAAGCGGCGGAUACCGCCACCCCUCCUCAGUUUGCCUCUUUCUCUCUCUUUUGGGAUAGGGUUUUGAUUUUGGAUUCGUGAUUUUGCUGUUGAGCCAGAUUGACAUUAGAUAAAUGAGCCUUAAAAAUUAUAAUUUCUUUAUUUGCUGUUUUUGUUAAUUAAAUUGAAUUCUACAAUUAUGCGUCAGAGUUUCUUAAUAGGCCUCAUCACUCUCAUAAUUCAGAGUGUGGUUAUAUUGUUCAAUCAAUUAUCUAAUUAUUGUUUAAUUUUGAUUUCUCAGUAGUUUCAAAUUACUUUGUUAGGUUAUGUGGUCUUUUGAUCGAACACCAACAUUUAUUAGUGCUGCAAUUCACUAAUUUGGUGAUUUUAAAUGUGUUAAUGAUUAAUUGUGUAUGUUGUCAGAUUCACUUGUAUCUUUUUAAGGAGUAAUUGUUUUAUUACAUACAAUGUUCAGGCACAUAUCAAAACUGAUAUCAAAAUGCAUCUAGCUUAUGGUGGUCACAUCUCAGGUUGGAGUUCACUCAAGCAAAGGUCAACAAAGCUUUGAGCUAGUUUAGGCAUUUAGAUUAAUUAAGUUAUUUCUCAACUAAGCUCUCAAGUUGAAGAAUUAAAGAAGAUGGCGGAAGAAAACCAUGACAAGGCAGAAGAAAGCCAAAAAAUGGCGGCAGAAAGCUUAAAAUAUGCCAAGGAAAUUACUGAAAAUCAUGAGAUAAAAAAAGCAACAUGAAAGAAGGAAAAAAUAGCUUUGCACAAAACAUUGAAGGAUAUCACAACACUUGUCCAACAUUACUAUCCUACGAAGCCUCCUACGUUUACUAUCACCCGCUCUUGUGAUGCAACUAAGUGAUUUUUAUUUUCUUGUGGUAAUUUUGUGAAUAGUUGAUCUUUAAUAUUUGGAGGCGUAUUUGUAUAUCGUCAUUAGUUCUUAUUGGAAGUAGCUUCCUUUAUAUGGGAGAUGAUUUUGAAACAAUUAGUCAUAUGGUUUAGAAUAUUGUUUUUUUAUACAUUGAUACAAAAUUUAUGAUAUUUUUGAUAUAUGAAUAAAAUUGACAUUUUGGUUAUUUUAA